UACGGAGGGUGCAAGCGUUGCUCGGAAUUAUUGGGCGUAAAGGGUAGGCAGGUGGUCUCAUUUGUCUGGGGUGAAAGCCUUGAGCUUAACUCAAGAAGUGCCCCAGAAACGGUGGGACUGGAGUCCUGGAGAGGGUCGUGGAAUUCCCGGUGUAGCGGUGAAAUGCGUAGAGAUCGGGAGGAACACCAGAGGCGAAAGCGGCGACCUGGACAGGUACUGACACUCAACUACGAAAGCGUGGGGAGCAAACAGG
rnacentral:rRNA from 1 species